rnacentral:rRNA from 1 species
UACGGGGGGAGCAAGCGUUGUUCGGAAUUACUGGGCGUAAAGGGCGCGUAGGCGGCCAGCACAAGUCAGUUGUGAAAUCUCCGAGCUUAACUCGGAAAGGUCAACUGAUACUGUGCGGCUAGAGUGCGGAAGGGGCAACUGGAAUUCUUGGUGUAGCGGUGAAAUGCGUAGAUAUCAAGAGGAACACCUGCGGCGAAGGCGGGUAGCUGGGCCGACACUGACGCUGAUGCGCGAAAGCCAGGGGAGCGAAGCGGG